rnacentral:rRNA from 1 species
AUGAGGACAAAAGCACUUAGAAGCUUCAAUGGAGCUGGAAAAGCAUUGCCUCUACACGAAAGUGAACGUAUGUUCUUUCCGUCAGUUCAUGGUGAGCAUUGGUUCUUGUUCGUUGUCGACAUUAUAGCAAGAAAAUUUGUCUUCCUAGAUUCAUAUUAUGAAGGGAACACACCAUUCCAUAUCGGUAUCAGAGAUUUGAUGAUAAACAAUUUCAUAAAAACAUGGGAAGAAUCUAAUCUGAGAGGGAUGGGUUUCAGAAAGUUUGGUGUAGAGUACCCAAACAUGCCAAAGCAAAUAGGAAGCGACGCAUGUGGGAUUUUUGCUCUUAAGUGGAUGCAAACUUGGGCUUCACGAAAUCCUCUGCAGCGACAGUUCACGAUGAACGACGUAGCAGACGCAAGGGUCAGAUUUGCUAUUGACAUUCUGUUUAGUAUUCACAACACAGAGGAUAAAGGCGAAUCACUAGUCAAGAACUUUGCAUGGUAA